CCUACGGGGUGCAGCAGUGAGGAAUAUUGGUCAAUGGGCGCGAGCCUGAACCAGCCAAGUCGCGUGAAGGAUGACUGCCCUACGGGUUGUAAACUUCUUUUAUAAAGGAAUAAAGUUAGGCACGUGUGCCUUUUUGUAUGUACUUUAUGAAUAAGGAUCGGCUAACUCCGUGCCAGCAGCCGCGGUAAUACGGAGGAGCCGAGCGUUAUCCGGAUUUAUUGGGUUUAAAGGGAGCGUAGGGGGGUGGUUAAGUCAGUUGUGAAAGCUUGCGGCUCAACCGUAAAAUUGCAAUUGAUACUGGCAGUCUUGAGUACAGUAGAGGUAGGCGGAAUGCGUGGUGUAGCGGUGAAAUGCUUAGAGAUCACGAAGAACUCCGAUUGCGAAGGCAGCUUACUAAACUGCCACUGACAUUGAUGCUCGAAAGUGUGGGUAUCAAACAGGAUUAGAUACCCCUGUAGUC
rnacentral:rRNA from 1 species